rnacentral:tRNA from 1 species
GGCGCCAUAGAACAAUGGUUAGUUCGGAGGGCUCUCAAUCCUCAGAUAGGGGUUCGAUUCCCCUUGGCGCUACCA